AAGGCUGAGAAGAAGCUAAUCCAGCCAGCCCCGGAGGAAGUGUAGGCAGGAGACCAAAAUGGUGAGAUGGAUAAGGGUUUUUUGUUUGUUUGUUUUUAAUCAGAUCAUAGAUGGCACUAGUCUGGCUGACAUGGCAAUGUUCCAGCAUGGUAAUUGGAGAUAGGGGGUUGUUACCUGAUCUUUACCUGGAUUCCUUCAUCUUACCAAGUACCUUCAGGUUGGAGGAGGAAGCAGGACUCCAGAAAAGAUGUGACUUGUUGAAUAGCACUUCAGAAAAUCUCCAAGACAAAAUCUUACUACCUAGGAAUCUCAUCAAGAUGAUUAAGGAGUUCCCUGCUGAAUCAGCAUGACUGAAUGGCAUGCCUAAAUGACUUUGUAAUAUUAGAUUGCACCAAGCUGGGGAAGAUUGGCAAGAGCCUGACAUAGUCUCAUCAUCAGGUUCAGAAAGCUUCUUUUUAUAUUCUGAUCUGCUUUAUCCUUUUGCAUAGCAUCAAAAUAAUUUGAUUUAAGGGCCAGAUUCAACCCAGAGUCAAGUUGUCUAUGUAUCUGAUCCAUCCAUCCAUAGGCCCAAUGGAACCAUUUUUAAUGGGUUGUCUGGAAAACUCGUCUAUCCAAGUCCCUUCUUGUUUCAACUCUCACCCCUACCUGGCUUCAGCAGGGCAUAUACUCCCAGUUGUCUAAAGUUUUAUGGUUUGUUGGUUUGUUUUCCCCUUUUUUUACUUAAAAUGGGAAGGAUAGUGAGACUUGCAAGGGGAAUUCAGACCAAUAGAAUAAAGUUUCUCUGCUUGAAGUUUUCCA
rnacentral:lncRNA from 1 species